rnacentral:rRNA from 1 species
UUGAACGCUGGCGGCUGCUUAACACAUGCAAGUCGAACGGAGUGGCGAACGGGUGAGUAACGCGUGAGCAACCUGCCUAUGACAGUGGGAUAGCCUCGGGAAACCGGGAUUAAUACAGCAUAGUCAUAGAUGGGCUCGCGUCUGAUUAGCUAGUUGGUGAGAUAACAGCCCACCAAGGCAACGAUCAGUAGCCGGUCUGAGAGGAUGAACGGCCACAUUGGAACUGGGACACGGUCCAAACUCCUACGGGAGGCAGCAGGCGGGAAUAUGGCACAAUGGGGGAAACCCUGAUGCAGUGACGCCGCGUGAACGAAGAAGGUAUUAGUAUCGUAAAGUUCUGUCCUAUGUGAAUCAGUACCAUAGAAGAAAGCUCCGGCUAAAUACGUGCCAGCAGCCGCGGUAAUUC